GUGUUGGAGAGCAGCUGGGUGUGUGCAGGGCAGCUGUGCUGGGUUAUCCUGACCAGGGCCAUAAAAGAGCUAGGGAGAGGCUGGGGUAUUGGUCUGGUCUGGUUCAGCAUUGCUCUGGGUGUGAUGGGGCUGUUUCUCUGCACUGUGCUCCAGCAGAAAGAGUCAUGAAGGAGGAAAAUGAGAAGCUCCUGUGAGUGACAUAAAACUCACAUCUGGCUAUCAGGAUAAACAAAUGAGUUUGUUUUCAAGCAACAGAACACAACAUGUGGUGCUGCAGCCAGAGAGAGUGAGGCAGCUGGAGCUUCAGUUUGCAGAGCAGGCAAACACAGGUCUCUUUUGGCAAGCUCACCUGUUUCAUCCUGGAUUGAUGACUUGAAUGGGCUGCUUUGACCACC